rnacentral:tRNA from 2 species
UGGGGAGUAGCCAAGCGGUAAGGCACAAGGUUCUGGUCCUUGCACCGGGGGUUCGAAUCCCUCCCCCCCAACCA